rnacentral:rRNA from 1 species
GACGAACGCUGGCGGCGUGCUUAACACAUGCAAGUCGAACGGAAAGGCCCUGCUUUUGUGGGGUGCUCGAGUGGCGAACGGGUGAGUAACACGUGAGUAACCUGCCCUUGACUUUGGGAUAACUUCAGGAAACUGGGGCUAAUACCGGAUAGGAGCUCCUGCUGCAUGGUGGGGGUUGGAAAGUUUCGGCGGUUGGGGAUGGACUCGCGGCUUAUCAGCUUGUUGGUGGGGUAGUGGCUUACCAAGGCUUUGACGGGUAGCCGGCCUGAGAGGGUGACCGGCCACAUUGGGACUGAGAUACGGCCCAGACUCCUACGGGAGGCAUCAGUGGGGAAUAUUGCACAAUGGGCGGAAGCCUGAUGCAGCAACGCCGCGUGCGGGAUGACGGCCUUCGGGUUGUAAACCGCUGUCGCCUGUGACGAAGCGUGAGUGACGGUAAUGGGUAAAGAAGCACCGGCUAACUACGUG